rnacentral:lncRNA from 1 species
GUUGAGAGUAUCGGGAACGACAAUGCUUGAUCUUCAUUCUUGCUGGAUUGGGCACUCUAUUGUCUAGCUAUAGGUGGGGGGUGAGAGUUGUGAUUAUGAUUUGGGAGCAAUGAAAAAGGAAAAGAAAUAACUCUUUGUGUUUAAGUGAAUUGUCUUACUGGGAUAAGUAGAAAAACCUCUAGCUCAAGUUAUGAAAAGUCUUGGCCCCCAUUUAAAAAAAAAGAAAAGAAAUAAAAUAUGAAAAGAAAAGAAAAAGAAAGAAAAAUGGGGCUAGCAAAGUUGUUAGGAGCUAAGUAAUGUUUUGAGGUUGUGAA